rnacentral:rRNA from 1 species
GAUGAACGCUGGCGGCGUGCCUAAUACAUGCAAGUCGAGCGAACAGACGAGGAGCUUGCUCCUCUGACGUUAGCGGCGGACGGGUGAGUAACACGUGGAUAACCUACCUAUAAGACUGGGAUAACUUCGGGAAACCGGAGCUAAUACCGGAUAAUAUAUUGAACCGCAUGGUUCAAUAGUGAAAGACGGCUUUGCUGUCACUUAUAGAUGGAUCCGCGCCGCAUGAGCUAGUUGGUAAGGUAACGGCUUACCAAGGCGACGAUGCGUAGCCGACCGGAGAGGGUGAUCGGCCACACUGGAACUGAGACACGGUCCAGACGCCUACGGGAGGCAGCAGUAGGGAAUCUUCCGCAAUGGGCGAAAGCCUGACGGAGCAACGCCGCGUGAGUGAUGAAGGUCUUCGGAUCGUAAAACUCUGUUAUUAGGGAAGAACAAAUGUGUAAGUAACUAUGCACGUCUUGACGGUACCUAAUCAGAAAGCCACGGCUAACUACGUG